GAUACUGGUUUGAGAAAAACUAAGAUUUAAACAACCAAAUGUUUCCAGUGCAACAUGAAAAAACAUUGGAAAACAAUUUUCAGCCUAAGGUUAGAUAAUGUAGCCAAUGGUCCUCUAUAAAUUUUGGUACAAUGGUACAUUUCCUUUGUGUACUGCAAGCUGAACUUACCGAUUUAUAUGGACUUUACUUACAGGUUUUCUGUGCUAUGUUGCUCCAUUUCACGGAGCAAAAUAAGUCUGAGGUAGCACCAUCCUUGUGGUUUGAGUGGAACAAUGGGGGUAUUGAGACCAAAAUGAACAAUGUGCCACUCUAGACAGCUGUGGACAAAAUAUGCAGUCAGAGUAUUUUCUCAAACAGAAAGAGAAUUCCAGGGCAAAAGGACUCAACAGAGAUAACAUUGUCAGUACACAAAAUAGAAAUUUGGAAUGAUUAAGAAAAAUGCAUGUUUCUAUACAUAUUUUCUUUAAAUCCAAUUUUUUUCACCGGUCAGCAGGACAGUAAAUUAUCUGAAGGUGAAAUCAUUAUUAAAGGUGAUAUCAUUGUCAUUGCAUUCAUUGUUACAUAUGAUUUUAAACAGUGGGAAUCAUUGUGUAUUUUAAAUCAUUAUGUGAAUUAAUCAUUAUUGACAGCAAUUGCACAAGUGUAAGUAAAAACUUUAAAAAAGAUCCAACUGUUGAAUAUUUGAUUGUUAAAUGCUAAACGUUAAACUAAAGUGUACAUGGUCCAUGUUAAUGUUUUUAGUAUUAUUUUUUUCAUCUGAGGAGCCAGGUAAAACUAAAAGGUCACAAUAUGAUUUACUAUCAUAUUAU